CCUACGGGUGGCAGCAGUGGGGAAUAUUGGGCAAUGGGCGCAAGCCUGACCCAGCAACGCCGCGUGAAGGAAGACGGCUUUCGGGUUGUUAACUUCUUUUCUCAGGGACGAAGAAAGUGACGGUACCUGAGGAAUAAGCCUCGGCUAACUACGUGCCAGCAGCCGCGGCAAUCCGGAGGUGGCAAGCGUUAUCCGGAUUUAUUGGGUGUAAAGGGCGUGUAGGCGGGAGCGCAAGUCAGAUGUGAAAACUCAGGGCUUAACCCUGGGCCUGCAUUUGAAACUGUGUUUCUUGAGUGCUGGAGAGGCAAUCGGAAUGCCGGGUGUAGCGGUGAAAUGCGUAGAUAUACGGAAGAACACCAGUGGCGAAGGCAGAUUGCUGGAGAGUAACUGACGCUGAGGCGCGAAAGCGUGGGGAGCAAACAGGAUUAGAUACCCCAGUAGUC
rnacentral:rRNA from 1 species